CACAAUCUAGAAGAAAGAAAACAUAGUUAGAUACUUUAAACCUGUAUCCCUCAUCAGUGUCACAUGAAGGCAAAAUGAGUCACAUCUUAAAAUAGAUUUUGCACACUCACUACAAAGAUUAUAGUUUUGCACUGAAACACUUGUUCUGCCUCACUAUCAAGCAUGAUUUUGAAAUGCCUACUCACAAUAUAGUGAAAAACUGCACCCACUUUAUAACUUGUAAAGAAACAAUUAAUUCAUUCUCAAGUAAUGAGACUCAAGUAAUGAUUCUCAAGCAAGGACUUCAGUGUCCACUGGCGUUCCUGUAACAUACCACUAUGCUAGCAGUGUGGUUGUUCGUUGUGGAGGUGUGCGACAGGCUUACAGGAAUGCAAUUACAGUAUUCGGAACCAGAGGGGUCAAAUUAACUGUUUUGCCCAGGACUGACUAGCACUGAGCUAAGUAUUUUCUAAUUUUCUGCUCAUGACAUUAAUGUUGGGGUUUUGUUUGGUUGUUUUUUGUUUCCUUGGGUUUGCCUUU